rnacentral:lncRNA from 1 species
AUAACAUCCAUUUUCUUUCUAGCAUCAAGAAAACCCUAAAUCCGAAAUUGAAAAAUCAUCUCAAUAUCUGUAUCAAUUUCUCAAUAUCUGUAUCAAUUUCUCAAAAUCAUGCGCAAGUCUAUGGUGUGUGGAUAAAGCUGAGUCUUGUAUUCAUCUUUUGCUCCACUGUAAUUUUGCUCAGAAAGUGUGGAGGGAGGUUGGUGUGUGGCUGAAUUUGGAUAUUAUUAUCCCUCCCAAU